GCUGUUGUAGCUCAGUAGGUAGAGCGCAUCCUUGGUAAGGAUGAGGUCACCGGUUCGACUCCGGUCAACAGCUCCA
rnacentral:tRNA from 1 species